AAACAUGCAAGUCGAACGAGAACCUUGAUGCUUGCAUUGAGGGGAAAGUGGCGAACGGGUGAGUAACACGUGGAUAAUCUGCCUCUAGGAUGGGGACAACCACUGGAAACGGUGGCUAAUACCGAAUAAGAUAGUACUUACACAUGUGAGAGCUAUUAAAGGGUGGGGACCUUCGGGCCUAUCGCCUAGAGAUGAGUUUGCGGCCCAUUAGCUAGUUGGUGGGGUAAAGGCCUACCAAGGCGACGAUGGGUAGCCGGCCUGAGAGGGUGAACGGCCACAUUGGGACUGAGACACGGCCCAGACUCCUACGGGAGGCAGCAGUUAAGAAUCUUGCGCAAUGGGCGAAAGCCUGACGCAGCGACGCCGCGUGGACGAUGAAGGCCUUCGGGUUGUAAAGUCCGAUAAGCAGGGAAGAAUAAGUGUGGGGAAAUAUUCCACAUGAUGACGGUACCUGCCUAAAGCCCCCGGC
rnacentral:rRNA from 1 species